AGAGCAUCGCAAAACCUCUUCACUUUAUAUACGGAAAGUUUGAAGAUGCAGGACACCAACACAAACAAAAAUGCCGGUAUUAAAAACCAGCUUCGGGCACUUAAAGUCGUCAAAUCUUUUCUUCCAGGAAAUCAAACCCAGACAAACCUGAGAACAAAGAGAGCUGCAUCAGACAUGCCACCACCCAGUGCUGCUAAAAAGCCUCGACUGGAUGCUGCACCUCAGAAAUACACAAAACAAUCCCUCAUCACUAGUGCAUUGAAAACACUGCAGGAUUCCUGUGAUGAUGUUUUAUCUUCAAACAUGAUUGAUGCACUACUUAAAGGAAAAUGUGAACUUCCUUCUCUGACAGAUGAAGAACAAUCUGUCAUUUCCAAGUUUUGUGUAAACGAGGUCAGUUAUCAUCUUGUUUUAUUUAGUGUGCAUUCAAUUUAAACACAUGCAUUUUAUUAAGUGUGCAUGCAAUUCUUUAGCUGUGGAUUUGAGUUUUCUCAUUUUUAAUAGUCAAUCCAUAAUUCACUAUUCCUGAUGUUCUGAAAUUAAACAGUAGAUAUGAUUUGUCAUGUAAAAAUGUUUAGUCCAGGUUUUGGUUCAUGCAAAGUCUAGUAGUUUUCCUAAACCU